GAUGAAGAACGUAGCGAAAUGCGAUAAGUAAUGUGAAUUGCAGAAUUCAGUGAAUCAUCGAAUCUUUGAACGCACAUUGCGCCCGUCAGUAUUCUGGCGGGCAUGCCUGUUCGAGCGUCAUUACGCCCCUCAAGUCCCCUGUGGACUUGGUGUUGGGGAUCGGCGAGGCUGGAUUUCCAGCACAGCCGUCCCUUAAAUUAAUUGGCGGUCUCGCCGUGGCCCUCCUCUGCGCAGUAGUAAAACACUCGCAACAGGAGCCCGGCGCGGUCCACUGCCGUAAAACCCCCCAACUUUUUAUAGUUGACCUCGAAUCAGGUAGGACUACCCGCUGAACUUAAGCAUAUCAAUAAGCGGAGGA
rnacentral:misc_RNA from 1 species